CAGUAACAGAACCUUUGGUCCAGAGCCUGGGAUGUUGCCUUUUGCCCACUGGAAUUCCCAUCUUGGAAGAGUAAGCGCAGGGGAUUGUCCAGACAGCCAGGAGGCCAGCGAAGCCAAGUCCUUCAGUACAGCCUGGGAGCCUCCAGGAAGCUGUUAGGAGUUGCCAUGAUGGGUGCAUUUGGACUCACAGAAUCUGCCUUCCAAUCUCAGUGCUGCUUCUACUCCUUUGCUACCUUAGGUCUUUGAAGACAGGUCCAUACCUUGGGUGUUUGUAUUUGGACAACCACAGACAUUGCCAAGAAAUGUAUCUGUUCUACUUGCACACCUUCACCACCUGGAUGCUGCUUGAGGACACAGAUCUGGUCCAUCAGAUUUCUCUCUGUACUCCUCUCUAUAUUUCGCCAUAUUUGAUAUAGACCCAUCAAUGGCUCCCUAGAAUAAAAUCUCAACUCUUC
rnacentral:lncRNA from 1 species